rnacentral:rRNA from 1 species
UAUGAACGCUGGCGGCGUGCCUAAUACAUGCAAGUCGAACGCGAGCAGCAAUGCUCGAGUGGCGAACGGGUGAGUAAUACAUAAGUAACCUGCCCUAGACAGGGGGAUAACUGCUGGAAACGGCAGCUAAGACCGCAUAGGUAUGGACACUGCAUGGUGACCAUAUUAAAAGUGCCAAGGCACUGGUAGAGGAUGGACUUAUGGCGCAUUAGCUGGUUGGUGAGGUAAGAGCUUACCAAGACGAUGAUCAGUAGCCGAGCUGAGAGGCUGAUCGGCCACAUUGGGACUGAGACACGGCCCAG